AUUCAUGGAUGGCAACUCCUAUAGCCACAGCUCUCUCUUGUUUCCAGCCCUGCUGCUGAUAGAAAAAGUGGGUGGAUCCAAAUGACCAGGAAACUAAGUGCCUCUGCCUUUGUGAAAGAACGAGAAAACAGCAUGAAGCCAGAAAGGAGGGCUUCCAGGAGAAGAGCAAGGUGUUAUAUCGCUUCCCCUGAGAUUCUUGGAUGUUACAUGACUUUUCUUCUGUGAUUCUCUCGUCUCCAGUUCAAGAUAUUGCUUCAGUUGCCAGUCCUGGACCUCAGAAACCCUAAGCUGGGUAGCAAAUUCAAAAUUUGAAGGAAGUGGAAGAACAUCUCAGAAUAUCUCAGGGCUCCUCUCAGGGUGAAACUGGAAUUCGAAGACUAUUUCAGGAUUUAUUGUAAGAGCUAGGGAUUUAUAGAUAACCUAUAACACCUAUAAAAAGAAGAAGGAAGAAGAAGAGUGGGAAGAAUUGGCCAAGGGGAAAGAGAAACAAGCCAGAAUGAAAACAGCUUGAGAACUAACCAAGGAGGCACUGAUUAAUCAACUAAAGCUAUAGCUGAUUAAUCUAUAGAUUAAAGGCAAGCCUGCGGCUCUCCCUAUUCUUCACAGCUAAUUAUAUAAACUUGCCUGCAAAUAUUUGUAUCCCUUCAGCUGCGUCAUGCAUUUCCUUGCAAAAGCUGUGAGGCCUCAACCAUAGACAAACCAAUCUGGAGUUACACUCCAAACCAAAAAUAACAGCCCACCAGCUGUGUCCUGAAAAUUGAAAAAUCUGUGCUCAACUUUUCGGCAGCAGCUCAACAGCGUCCAGAGCCAUCAAUAACAAUAAAUUAGGAGGGUUUUUUUCUUUUCUUUUCUUUUUUUUAAUGUGUAGGGCUGUGUGCUGGAGCCUGCGCUUCUGGGAGUGGAGAAGCAUACCCCUUCCACUUGGAUGGCUGUGGUAAAGACGAUUGAUGCAUAUGUCUCGUUCAUGUAAUCACUCUGUGUGAGGUCUGGAAACAGACGAGAAGAAGGGGGAAAGAUUUUUUUGAACGUUCCCCAAUGUGAAGAGCAUUGGUGAAAAUCAAAAGCAGCCAGUUCAGAAAAUGUUUUGCUGUAAAUACUUUGAGACAGUCCAUUAAGACACCAUAGGACCAUUUUUCUUCAUUGCUGUGAGUAAAAUUGCCACCUGGCUGGUGGUUGACUGGCCUGGCUGGGUUUUUGUUUUUAAUUUUCAGGAUCAAUUUGCUUUUUAUGGCCUAUUCCCAAGAGAGUGUGUUGUUGUUGUUUUUUAAGUCAACACCAAACAGUAACCCUACAUAUAAAUAGAAUUAUAUUCUGC